UACGUAGGGGGCAAGCGUUGUCCGGAAUCAUUGGGCGUAAAGGGCUCGUAGGCGGCCAACUAAGUCAGACGUGAAAUCCCUCGGCUUAACCGGGGAACUGCAUCUGAUACUGGAUGGCUUGAGAUUGGGAGAGGGAUGCGGAAUUCCAGGUGUAGCGGUGAAAUGCGUAGAUAUCUGGAGGAACACCGGUGGCGAAGGCGGCAUCCUGGACCAACACUGACGCUGAGGAGCGAAAGCCAGGGGAGCAAACGGG
rnacentral:rRNA from 1 species